rnacentral:piRNA from 1 species
UGAAAGGGAAGCCCUAACUACUCCAGUA